UCGGGUGUGGUGCACGGUGCACCGCUGCAAUCCGUGGAUAAUGAUUGGGUUUGAAUCAGCAGCGAGCCGGGGUUCGACUCCCCGCACCCGAA